CCCCCCUCGAGAGUUUGAUCCUGGCUCAGGACGAACGCUGGCGGCGUGCUUAAUACAUGCAAGUCGAGCGGAGAUUGAAAAGCUUGCUUUUCAAAUCUUAGCGGCGGACGGGUGAGUAACACGUGGGCAACCUGCCCUUGAGACGGGGAUAACUCCGGGAAACCGGAGCUAAUACCGGAUAACACAUAUCUUCGCAUGAGGAUAUGUUAGAAGGUGGCUUUUAGCUACCACUCAAGGAUGGGCCCGCGGCGCAUUAGCUAGUUGGUGAGGUAACGGCUCACCAAGGGCGACGAUGCGUAGCCGACCUGAGAGGGGUGAUCGGCCACACUGGGACUGAGACACGGCCCAGACUCCUACGGGAGGCAGCAGUAGGGAAUCUUCCGCAAUGGACGAAAGUCUGACGGAGCAACGCCGCGUGAGUGAUGAAGGUUUUCGGAUCGUAAAGCGCUGUUGUUAGGGAAGAACAAGUACCUGUUAAAUAAGCAGGUACCUUGACGGUACCUAACCAGAAAGCCACGGCUAACUACGUGCCAGCAGCCGCGGUAAUACGUAGGUGGCAAGCGUUGUCCGGAAUUAUUGGGCGUAAAGCGCGCGCAGGCGGUUCCUUAAGUCUGAUGUGAAAGCCCACGGCUCAACCGUGGAGGGUCAUUGGAAACUGGGGAACUUGAGUGCAGAAGAGGAGAGCGGAAUUCCACGUGUAGCGGUGAAAUGCGUAGAGAUGUGGAGGAACACCAGUGGCGAAGGCGGCUCUCUGGUCUGUAACUGACGCUGAGGCGCGAAAGCGUGGGGAGCGAACAGGAUUAGAUACCCUGGUAGUCCACGCCGUAAACGAUGAGUGCUAAGUGUUAGAGGGUUUCCGCCCUUUAGUGCUGCAGCAAACGCAUAAGCACUCCGUCUCUGGAUGAUUGGAAAG
rnacentral:rRNA from 1 species